rnacentral:rRNA from 1 species
CAAUAGCGUACAUUAAAGUUGUUGCGGUAAAAAAGCUCGUAGUUGGAUUUCUGUUGAGAGCGACCGGUCCAUACCAUGUAUGCGUAUCUGGCUUGCUCUCGGCAUCCUCUCGAUAGACGUUACUGCGCUUGAUUGCGUGGUGCGGAUCUCGGGACUUUUACUUUGAGGAAAUUAGAGUGUUCACGGCAGGCUUUCGCCAGAAUACAUUAGCAUGGAAUAAUACUAUAGGAUCUUGGUUCUAUUUUGUUGGUUUCUAGAAUUGAGAUAAUGAUUAAUAGGGACAAUUGGGGGCAUUCGUAUCAACACGUCAGAGGUGGAAUUCUUGGAUUGUGUUGCGACGAACUACUGCGAAAGCAUUUGCCAAGGAUGUUUUCAUUGA